AGGUGAUUUCAGGCCCCGGAGGGAUUCUGAGGGCAGUGGGCACAUUCAGGAGUUUCAAGUCAAUACAGUGGUGACAGGUGCCCAGCACCUUACUUCCUCGGGGCGAAUUUGCCGAAGAGCGGAGAGAGCAGGUUUCAAUGCAAAGAGGAAGAACCAGGAAACAGUCACAUCAGAGCAUCUGCUUUUGUCCUUGCCAAAUGCACAGGCACAGAUCAGCUUGGAGAACUCCCUUUUGUGUUUCUGGUUCAAGGAACGGAGCCCUCAUUUCUCCCUGUGCUCGUGAGGAACAGGAAGUCAAAUGAAAGUUUAAAAGGAUGACGCGGCUGGAAAAAUCAUUGUAAUGGAGGAUGCCUUCAUACAAAGCUCUCAGGGAAAAGCAUUGACAAGCUUAUUGGAGGGGGCUCUUCAUCUCCAGGAUGGCAGUGUGACCCACCCGAAGAGUCCAGCCAGGCAUCGGGAGCACAGGGUCUCACUCUUUCACUUAGGCUGGAGUGCAGUGGCACAGUCACAGCUCACUGCAGCCUCCAACUCCUAGGCUCAAGCGAUCCUCCCACCUCAGCCACCCAAGUAGCUGGGACCACAGGUGCACACCACCACACCUGGCUAAUUUUUUAAUUUUUUGUAGCAACAGGGUCUCACUAUGUUGUCAAGGCUGGUCUCCAACUCCUGGGCUCAAGUCAUCUUCCCGCCUCAGCCUCCCAAAGUGCUGGGAUUAUAGAUGUGAGCUACUGCCCCAGGCCUAAAAUGAUUCCUUAAACACACUUCUUAGUUCUAUUUCCUGGCCUUUCAGGUGAGGUGGAAAAGGGUGGCCCAGACUAUCAUUUUAUUCAUCACCCAAAUCUUUCAUCCAGGAGAAGAAGAACAGAGAGGUUAGAGGGCUGUGUUUAGGUGGGUUACAUGCAGACCUGUUUCUAAAGUGCAGAGAGGGAGCUGGCAGCCUCAGCCCCAAGCUCAGCAUCCAUGAGGGAUUCUACUUUCUGGGUAACUGUGCAGAUCAAGGCCUGAUUCUUCACCUCCAUGAGCUCUCACUGUCUGCAUUUGAAUACUCUCUGCAACCCUUAUUCAUUUUGUUACCUACUUUGAUUUUUAGAAUGUCUGUCACUCAAAGUCCUCUGAACUAAAAAAUUCCAAAUUGAAACUACGAGGUGCAGAUCCAUGGUAUUAAACCCCUUCAAGCAGCAGAAGGGGGAAUGGUUUUCUGACGAAGCAGGUCAUGGUAGAGGGGGAGUGAGAGAAUCUCACCACCCCAAGGCUCUAACUUUGUGAAUUUCUUUUCUUUUUUCUUUUCUUUUUUUUCUUUUUUUUUUUUUUUGA
rnacentral:lncRNA from 1 species